rnacentral:lncRNA from 1 species
AGAAAGGAAGUGUCGACCGUUGUAAAGCUGAAACCGAUUGAAUAAAAAGAAGUGAAAAUAUUUUACAGGGGAGAGCGAAAUCAAUAAAGUUUUACAUGGGAAAAUGCUAUAAAAUGUGAAAAGGCAUUGCAAAUAAUCAAAAUUUAGGGAGGAGGUGUCAACUAACCGCUUCUCUUCCACAUGCUUUUCCUCCUUUGUGUACUGGUAUUAAUGUGAAUAUAAUUUAGUGUGUGUUUCUAGUGGCAAGAUUGAAGAUGUAAGAUGUCUGCCCUGAAGUAGUCGCUGACGUAGUUGCUGAAGCAGACAUCGUAGUGAGUGGUGAAGACCAUUUGGAGUCAAGGUGCUGAGCUGGAGUCAUGUAGACUUGGAGAGCAAGGGAGUAUCUUGGAGAUAUGGAAAGAAGAAUAAUUUUGAGGAGCAAGUUUAUGACUUAAGAAAGAGGAAUAAGCGCAUUCCAAGAAAAGGAAAGUUGCACUUAUU